UACGAAGGGGGCUAGCGUUGCUCGGAAUCACUGGGCGUAAAGGGUGCGUAGGCGGGCCUUUAAGUCAGGGGUGAAAUCCUGGAGCUCAACUCCAGAACUGCCUUUGAUACUGAAGAUCUUGAGUUCGGGAGAGGUGAGUGGAACUGCGAGUGUAGAGGUGAAAUUCGUAGAUAUUCGCAAGAACACCAGUGGCGAAGGCGGCUCACUGGCCCGAUACUGACGCUGAGGCACGAAAGUGUGGGGAUCAAACAGG
rnacentral:rRNA from 1 species